GCUGGUCCCACUGCUGAUGCAACAGGCCAAAGCUGGCUGUUGGCAAACUGGCCGUUGGAAGUCAAAAUGCUCCCAAGCAGGCUUAUCCUCUCUACCCAGCCAUGGAGGUUCAACCAGCACAAGAGCCACAGACACUUCCAGCCUUAUAGCUUGUUGGCCUGGUGAAGGACUUCUAGCUCAUUGGCCUGGCGGAGGACAGCUCCUUGACACAACAACCUCCACAGCUCUCACACAGGGGGAAGCAGCAUUACCAGGCCACAGAAGAAGACCCGAUGAGACCUAAUUGACUAGGAUCAGAAGGAAGGAAAAGAAGUCCUCCCCUAUCUGUGGACUUGGAGAGGAGGCAGGGAACCAUGGGGGAUACAAAAAGGAUCCUUGUGCGUUCUUGCUGGUGAGACAAUUGCGCGGGUCACAGCUGGUGCCGAAACCCCAGGACUCCGUGCAGCCUUUGAUUGCCGGCCCUGUGAGGAUUCAGGGUGCUGCUCACAGGGUGGAUUCAGAACUGCAGUGCUAACAGGAAGAAAACAAUCCAUUCUGGGUACCGGAGGGCCUCAUGCGAAAGCUCGCGGCACCUGAAGAUCAUCCUCCAAUGAAUAUACCUGCAAGAAACUGGUCAGAAGAAUUUGAAGAAAUGCUUGAAGAGCUAAGGGCGGCGGUGGUGACCAUUAAUUCUACUCGAGUGGAUUUAUCGCUCACAGAUGGCUUAUUAUCCUGGGAUUCUUCCACCUUUUCUUAUUUUAAGGAAUGGGUGGGCGUUGGAAUGUUUGGUGCAGCCCUAUGUUGUGGCUUACUGUCCUUACUUUGGUUGGUCUGCAAGCUCAAAGCCCAACAACACCGUGACAAGGUCGCGAUCGUGCAAGCACUUGUGGCCUUGGAACAAGGAUCAUCUCCCAAAAUUUGGUUAUCCAUGUUAAAAAAUUAAAACAGACUGUGACACUCAGUCGAUGCACCUCAGGGGUUUUACCCAUUGCACUGAGUCGAUGAGUGAUCUAAGUCACAAUGUUGCCUUUGCCUAAGCGGCUGCGGUACCAAGAUAGGAGAAUGACAGUCCUUGCACUCCCUGAAAUUUUAUAAUUUUAUUCCAUUGCACGGGAAUGGGUGUCACCUCCAUUUUUAUUCUUCUCCCUUAGCCCCUGCACCCAGAGGACUUUUCUCCAUUGCACCUGGUGUGGUAAGGGAGUAAUCUAAAGCUCUUGAUCGCUUACUCCCCAAAGAAGGAGUUCGCUUGAUCCCGCUUAGGGCUUUCUGUUGGCUCCUGAAUAUCUUAUUGGCUUUCACUUGUUUCAUGACAUCAUUCUCUCUAUCAGCCAAUCAGCACCUGAGAGAAACUUGAGAUUUCCAUAGAAAUCCUGCACUUUUCCUCCUGUUUACCUCUGUAACAAAGUCAGGAUUUCUACAUGUACAAAAUGUCAGCAAGAAGAAAUUCAUGAGAAUGGCAUAUAAUUUUCCUUAAAGAGUUCUAUGAUAAUGAGACAGGUCAUCACAUGGUAGCAACCCAUUUGCCUGAAAGAAGAUAAGGAGCUUUGAAUUAGUUCAGUAUGGAGCUGGCCUCAAAUGUGGCAAAUGAGCCAUUUGAGUAAAGAAAAUAUCCUCCCUCCUCAACAGACAAAUUCUGUCAACAAUGGGCAAGCUAAUGCAGGACAAGUCAACUGCAAAAUUCUGCCAAGACAGGGGUGGAUCACAUUGAUGGAUUUCCAAAUAUUGAACCACCCCUGCAUACCUGGAAUGAAGCCUACAUUUCAUAGUGGAUGAUAUCCUUGAUGUGUUCUUGUAUUCAGUCGAAGACAUGAAAAACAUUUGUAAGAUCCUAAACAAGCAAGUUAAAGAUUUGGAUGAAAACAAAUUUCAACUCUGUGAAGAAGACAUCAGAAGAUGGAAAGAUUUCUCAUGCUCAUUGUAAAAGUGGUCAUUUUACCGAAAGCAAUAUACAGAUUCAAUGCAAUUCCCAUCAACUACCAAGACAAUUUUUCCAGAUCUUGAAAGAAAAAAAUCUCAACUUCAUGUGGAAAAAUAACAAACCAAGAAUUGCUAACACAAUCCUCCACAAUAAAAAUCUGGAGGUAUCUCCAUCCCUGAUCUUUAUUACUAUUAUACAGCAAUAGUAAUAAAAACUGCAUGGUACUGGCAUAGAAAUAAAAUGGUGGAUCAAUGGAACCAAUUAAAGACCCAGAAAUAAACCCACACACUUAUGGACAUCUGAUUUUUUCUAACAUAGCAAAACCACAAAACAGAAAAAAAAAAGAUAUGAUCUUCAACAAGUGGUGCUCACCUAACUAGAUGUCUACAUGUAGACAAAUGAAAAUAGAUCCAUACUUAUCAAUGUGUACAAAACUAAAGUCAAAGUGGAUUAAAGACAUCAGGAUACUAGACACAUUAAAUAGGAUAGAAGAAAAAGUGGGGAAGAGCCUGGAAGUCAUUUGCACAGGAGACAACUUCCUGAAAAGAACACCAACAGUACAGGCCCUAAGAGCAAAAAUCAGUAAACGGGACCUCAUGAAACUGAAAAUCUUCUGUAAAGCAAAGGACAUUGUUAUCAAGACAAAACGGAUGCCUACAAAAGGGAAAGAUUCUUCACUAAGUCUCUAUGUGAUAGAGGUUUAAUAUAUAGUGUAUAUAAAGAGCUAAAGAAGUUGAAAAGCAAAAAAUCAAGAAAUGCAUUUAAAAAAUGGGAAACAGGGGAAACAGAAUACACUAGAUAGAGUUAUAUCGAAUUGCAGAAAAACACUAAAAGAAAGGUUCAACAUCAUUAGCCAUCAUGGAAAUGCAAAUCAAAUAAUGUGGAGAGCCGGGGCUUGGUUGCCAUGGCGCUGGCUUCCGCCCUCAAAACUGGUAAACCAUUAUGACCAUUGGGCAACCGUCUUCAUGAGCCCAGCCCGGGGUGUCAUAUGGGGUGAUGGGUGAGCAGCCAAUCAGGGGAUGAUACAUCAUCUCACACCAUGGGUGAGCAGCCAAUCAGGGAAUGAUACGUCAUCUCACACCACACUGGUGCGAGCAGGGCUUAUAAAAACAGCGCCACUUCAGGGCUCGGGGUCUUCCUCCUUUCAUAGCUUGACUGUAAUAAAGCUUGCUGCAGAAGGAUCCUGUUGUCAAAUGUGCAUUCUUGCUAGCGAGACGAUUACGUGGGUCGCAACAAAAUAACCCUGAGAUUUCACCUUACACCCAUCCGAAUGGCCAAGAUAAAAAACUCAAGUGACAACACAUGCUGGAGAGGUUGUGGAGAAAGAGGAACCCUCCUCCACUGCUGGUGGGAAUAUAAAUUUGUACAACCACUUUGGAAAUCAAUCAGGUGUUUUCUCAGACUACUAGGAAUAGCACUUCCUCAAGAUGCAGCUAUACCAAUAUUAGGCAUGUAUCCAAAAGGGGCUCAAGUACACAAUAAAGACAUUUACACAACCAUAUUUGUAGUAGCUUUAUUUGUAAUAAGCAGGAC